GUUGGGUCAGGUGGUGUAACACAGGAACUUGUUGACUCCAUUCAGAAAAAGUGGAAAGUGGAUGAGAUUGUUAAAUUGAGAUUUGAAGGUGCUCCUUCUCAUAAUAUGAAGAGGACACAUGAUAUUCUAGAGCAUAGAACUGGAGGAUUGGUGAUUUGGAGAUCAGGCAGUUCCAUAGUGUUAUACAGAGGAAUAUCAUACAAG
rnacentral:misc_RNA from 1 species